rnacentral:rRNA from 1 species
UACGUAGGGCGCAAGCGUUGUCCGGAAUUAUUGGGCGUAAAGAGCUCGUAGGCGGCUCGUCGCGUCGACCGUGAAAACCCGCAGCUUAACUGCGGGCUUGCGGUUGAUACGGGCGGGCUAGAGUUCGGUAGGGGAGACUGGAAUUCCUGGUGUAGCGGUGAAAUGCGCAGAUAUCAGGAGGAACACCGGUGGCGAAGGCGGGUCUCUGGGCCGAUACUGACGCUGAGGAGCGAAAGCGUGGGGAACGAACAGG